GCCCCGCUGCCGCACCAGCAGCUGCCGCACGACAAGCUCCCUCUCCCUCUCUGUCUCUGUACGUGUCAGUGUGUCCGAGAAAUCGCGACCUAAUUCAUAAUCACAACAACCGCCUUCCGUCUCUUUCUGCGCUGCCCGCGGCUGUCUAUCUCGUUGAAGCUAUCUGUGCGGCGUGGAGUGUUGCAGUCUUACAGCCUUUUGCUUCUUAUUUUGUAUAAGAACAAUAUCCGCAAAUCAUGUCGCGAGUUUGUGUGAAAAACUUGCCCAAGUAUGUAGUGGAGGACCAUCUGAGAGAAUUCUUCUCCCAGAAAGGGGAAGUGACAGAUGCCAAGCUUAUGCGCACCAAGGAUGGGAAGAGUCGGCAAUUUGGGUUUGUGGGUUAUAGGACGGAGCAUGAAGCUGAGGAAGCCAUUAAGUAUUUCAACAAAUCUUUCAUGCAUACUUCCAGAAUUA